GGAGGGAUACCGAAGUGGUCAUAACGGGGCGGUCUCGAAAACCGUUCGGGUGCAAGCCCACGAGGGUUCGAAUCCCUCUCUCUCCGCCA
rnacentral:tRNA from 1 species